rnacentral:rRNA from 1 species
UAGACGCCAGAACAGACCAUGUUAAGCACCCUUAAAAUAAAAGACAAAACUGAUUGGCCCCUGUUCUAAUGUCUUUGGUUGGGGCGACCGCGGGGAAACAAAAAACCCCCAUGUGGACCGGGAGCACACUACUCCUACAACCCAGAGUUACAACUCCAAGCAACAGAAUAUCUGACCAACAAGAUCCGGCACAUAGCCGAUCAACGGACCGAGUUACCCUAGGGAUAACAGCGCAAUCCUCUUUUAGAGCCCAUAUCGACAAGAGGGUUUACGACCUCGAUGUUGGAUCAGGACAUCCUAAUGGUGCAGCCGCUAUUAAG